rnacentral:rRNA from 1 species
GUCUACGGCCAUGCCACUCUGAACGUGCCCGAUCUCGUCUGAUCUCGAAAGCUAAGCAGGGUCGGGCCUGGUUAGUACUUGGAUGGGAGACCACCUAGGAAGACCAGGUGCUGAAGGCG